rnacentral:rRNA from 1 species
AUUGAACGCUAGCGGGAUGCUUUACACAUGCAAGUCGAACGGCAGCGCGGACUUCGGUCUGGCGGCGGGUGGCGAACGGGUGAGUAAUGUAUCGGAACGUGCCCAGUAGCGGGGGAUAACUACGCGAAAUCGUAGCUAAUACCGCAUACGCCCUACGGGGGUAAGCCGGGGAUCGUAAGACCUUGCACUAUUGGAGCGGCCGAUAUCGGAUUAGCUAGUUGGUUAGGUAACGGCUCACCAAGGCGACGAUCCGUAGCUGGUUUGAGAGGAUGACCAGCCACACUGGAACUGAGACACAGCCCAGACUCCUACGGGAGGCAGCAGUGGGGAAUUUUGGACAAAGGGGGCAACCCUGAUCCAGCCAUCCCGCGUGUGCGAUGAAGGCCUUCGGGUUGUAAAGCACUUUUGGCAGGAAAGAAACGUCGCGGGCUAAUACCCCGUGGAACUGACGGUACCUGCAGAAUAAGCACCGGCUAACUACGUG